rnacentral:rRNA from 1 species
GACGUAGGGCGCGAGCGUUGUCCGGAUUUAUUGGGCGUAAAGAGCUCGUAGGCGGCUUGUUGCGUCGACUGUGAAAACCUGCGGCUCAACCGUGUGGUCUGCAGUCGAUACGGGCAGGCUGGAGUUCGGUAGGGGAGACUGGAACUCCUGGUGUAGCGGUGAAAUGCGCAGAUAUCAGGAAGAACACCGAUGGCGAAGGCAGUGGCUGGGCCGGUACUGACGCUGAGGAGCGAAAGCGUGGGGAGCGAACAGG